rnacentral:rRNA from 1 species
ACGUAGGUGACAAGCGUUGUCCGGAUUUACUGGGUGUAAAGGGCGCGUAGGCGGGAUAGCAAGUCAGAAGUGAAAUGCCGGGGCUCAACCCCGGAGCUGCUUUUGAAACUGUUAUUCUUGAGUAUCGGAGAGGAAAGCGGAAUUCCCAGUGUAGCGGUGAAAUGCGUAGAUAUUGGGAGGAACACCAGUGGCGAAGGCGGCUUUCUGGACGACAACUGACGCUGAGGCGCGAAAGUGUGGGGAGCAAACAGGAUUAGAUACCCUGGUAGUCCACACCGUAAACGAUGGAUACUAGGUGUAGGAGGUAUCGACUCCUUCUGUGCCGGAGUAAACACAAUAAGUAUCCCACCUGGGGAGUACGACCGCAAGGUUG